ACUACAAAAAAACCCUAAAUUGCCAACAGAUUUUGCUAACAACUUAAGUUGGUUAGUAUUCUACUAACAAAUUACCAACAUAUUUCUAACUGAAUUAUAUUUUAAAACUUAACAACGAAAUUCUCACAGAUUACCAACCAAAAUCUUACUAACUAAGUAUUUUGGUUGGUAAAUACGGCGGGAAAAAAUGGCGCCAAAUUUAGCAACAUUUUAUCAAUGGAUUACCAACUGAAAUAUUACUAACACACA
rnacentral:lncRNA from 1 species